rnacentral:rRNA from 1 species
UACAGAGGGUGCGAGCGUUAAUCGGAAUUACUGGGCGUAAAGCGCACGUAGGUGGCUAUGUAAGUCGGGUGUGAAAUCCCCGGGCUCAACCUGGGAACUGCAUUCGAGACUGCAUGGCUGGAGUACGGAAGAGGAGGGCGGAAUUCCCGGUGUAGCGGUGAAAUGCGUAGAUAUCGGGAGGAACAUCAGUGGCGAAGGCGGCCCUCUGGUCCAGUACUGACACUCAAGUGCGAAAGCGUGGGGAGCAAACAGG